GGGGAUUUAGCUCAGUGGUAGAGCGCUUGCCUAGCAAGCGCAAGGCCCUGGGUUUAGUCCCUAACUCCCCC
rnacentral:tRNA from 1 species